UACGGGGGGCUGCAGUAGGGAAUAUUGGACAAUGGGCGAAAGCCUGAUCCAGCCAUGCCGCGUGAGUGACGAAGGCCUUCGGGUUGUAAAGCUCUUUUGGCGGGGACGAUAAUGACGGUACCCGCAGAAUAAGCUCCGGCUAACUUCGUGCCAGCAGCCGCGGUAAUACGAAGGGAGCUAGCGUUGUUCGGAAUCACUGGGCGUAAAGCGCACGUAGGCGGAUGUGUCAGUCAGGGGUGAAAUCCCGGAGCUCAACUUCGGAACUGCCUUUGAUACAGCACAUCUGGAGUCCGGAAGAGGUGGGUGGAAUUCCUAGUGUAGAGGUGAAAUUCGUAGAUAUUAGGAAGAACACCGGUGGCGAAGGCGGCCCACUGGUCCGGUACUGACGCUGAGGUGCGAAAGCGUGGGGAGCAAACAGGAUUAGAUACCCUAGU
rnacentral:rRNA from 1 species